rnacentral:rRNA from 1 species
UACGAAGGGGGCUAGCGUUGCUCGGAAUCACUGGGCGUAAAGGGUGCGUAGGCGGGUUUUUAAGUCAGGGGUGAAAUCCUGGAGCUCAACUCCAGAACUGCCUUCGAUACUGCGGGUCUCGAGUCCGGAAGAGGAGUGUGGAAUUCCUGGUGUAGCGGUGAAAUGCGCAGAUAUCAGGAAGAACACCCGUGGCGAAGGCGGCUCUCUGGGACGGUACUGACGCUGAGACGCGAAAGCGUGGGGAGCGAACAGG